rnacentral:ncRNA from 24 species
GCUAGGCUUGACGGAGUCGACACGAGUCGACGACGAGACGCUUGCGAAGCCGGUGAGAACCCGGCGCUGUCCCGCAACGGUAUCUGCGCGCGGCGCGCAGUUAGCCCGGUCGCCAAGCCGAUCGUCCCC